rnacentral:rRNA from 1 species
AUGGGGACUUGUAUCAACGGCAUCACGAGGGCCAUACUGUCUCCUUUUUCCAAUCAGUGAAACUGAUCUUCCCGUGAAGAAGCGGGAAUUAACCUAUAAGACGAGAAGACCCCAUGGAGCUUUAAACCCAACAACAAGUCUAAAUAAACAUACCCUAAAAAUUAGUGACACCUGAACUGUUGGUUUUAGGUUGGGGUGACCGCGGAGUAUAAAUUAACCUCCACGACGAACGGGACUAAACCCUUAUCUACGAGCCACCGCUCUAAGAAUCAGCACACUGACUUCUAAUGAUCCGAUAUUCGAUCAACGAACCAAGUUACCCUGGGGAUAACAGCGCUAUCCAUUUCAAGAGCUCCUAUCGACAAAUGGGUUUACGACCUCGAUGUUGGAUCAGGGUAUCCUAGUGGUGCAGCCGCUACUAAAGGUUUGUUUGUUCAACAAUUAAAACCCUACGUGAU